rnacentral:rRNA from 1 species
UACGAAGGGGGCUAGCGUUGUUCGGAAUCACUGGGCGUAAAGCGCACGUAGGCGGAUCUUUAAGUCAGGGGUGAAAUCCUGGAGCUCAACUCCAGAACUGCCUUUGAUACUGAAGAUCUUGAGUCCGGGAGAGGUGAGUGGAACUGCGAGUGUAGAGGUGAAAUUCGUAGAUAUUCGCAAGAACACCAGUGGCGAAGGCGG